rnacentral:SRP_RNA from 1 species
AAUUGGGUGAKKDCCASAUYRCCUGUAACCAAAGAGCUGGGUGAUGACCAGAUUGCCUGUCUGCUUUAAGUCCUGCAGAGCAUGUUGAUAGUCCACCCUUGCCAAGCAAGUAGUCUGCAAGGGAUAGACAGUGUAAGCUGUCCAUUCCUGGCAGGUAAUGACCUGGGUACGGGCUCAGGCUGGCAACAGAGCAGGCCAAACUAGGCUCUACUUGCAGUGGCAGGAUACUGGAUUAGAAUGUAAUGCAGAGACCUCUGAUGUACUGAGGCUGUGCUACUGCAUCCAU